rnacentral:ncRNA from 2 species
ACCUUGUUUAGAGGAGCUUUAAUAAUUAGUAACUUUGUGGAGAUGGCAAUCAGUGAAUCAAAGUGAAAGGGAUUGAAGCCGAAGGCGUGUCCAGUUGCCAACUGGCGUGCCUGGCUGUGUGCAUAAUAUGCAUAUGGCUGUCAUCCUUGUUUUGGAUGGAGAGCUAAAAGGGUU